UACGGGGGGGGCGAAGCGUUGUUCGGAAUUACUGGGCGUAAAGGGCUCGUAGGUGGCCAACUAAGUCAGACGUGAAAUCCCUCGGCUUAACCGGGGAACUGCGUCUGAUACUGGAUGGCUUGAGUUUGGGAGAGGGACGCGGAAUUCCAGGUGUAGCGGUGAAAUGCGUAGAUAUCUGGAGGAACACCGGUGGCGAAGGCGGCGUCCUGGACCAACACUGACACUGAUGAGCGAAAGCCAGGGGAGCAAACGGG
rnacentral:rRNA from 1 species